GAUGAACGCUAGCGGCAGGCCUAAUACAUGCAAGUCGAACGGUAACAGGUGUAGCAAUACAUGCUGACGAGUGGCGCACGGGUGCGUAACACGUAUGCAACCUACCCAUAACUGGAGGAUAGCCCGAAGAAAUUCGGAUUAAUACUCCAUAGUAUAGUGAAGAGGCAUCUCUUUAGUAUUAAAACUACGGUGGUUAUGGAUGGGCAUGCGUUGCAUAGCUAGUUGGUGAGGUAAUGGCUCACCGAGGCUACGAUGCAUAGGGGAUCUGAGAGGAUUAUCCCCCACACUGGUACUGAGACACGGACCAGACUCCUACGGGAGGCAGCAGUAAGGAAUAUUGGACAAUGGUGCAACACUGAUCCAGCCAUGCCGCGUGAAGGAUGAAGGCNCUAUGCGUCGUAAACUUCUUUUGAACGGGAGAAACCCUCCGAUCGUGAUCGGAGCUGAUAGUACCGUUAGAA
rnacentral:rRNA from 1 species